GGGGGCGACGGGUUUCGACGGAGACGGAUCGCGACGGUAGCUGCGAGCCGAGGCGCCGCUGGCCUCGUAAAAAGCGGCAAAACACAAGCGCCAACACUGGCACUUACGCCCUCGCUGCCUAACUAACGGCGGCGCGCUGCUCCAAGGCCUGGCCAGGAGCCUGAAGAGCGGCGGGGACGAUCCUGGCCCACUCGCUCGGGAGUGCCCGCGGCCCGAGGGAGUCACCCAGCGGGCUGGCGCGUGGCCGGUUUGCCGGCGGAACGGCGCGCGUGAAAUCGAAACACCGGCUACGCUCGUAGACGCUGCCGGACGCACCCUUCGGACCCGGGUUCAACUCCCGGCGCCUCCAUCU
rnacentral:tmRNA from 1 species